GGAAGCAGGGGAUCGUAAGACCUUGUGCUUUUGGAGUGGCCGAUGCCUGAUUAGCUAGUUGGUAGGGUAAUGGCCUACCAAGGCGACGAUCAGUAGUUGGUCUGAGAGGACGACCAGCCACACUGGGACUGAGACACGGCCCAGACUCCUACGGGAGGCAGCAGUGGGGAAUUUUGGACAAUGGGCGCAAGCCUGAUCCAGCAAUGCCGCGUGAGUGAAGAAGGCCUUCGGGUUGUAAAGCUCUUUCAGUUGAGAAGAAAAGGUUGUGACUAAUAAUCACAACUCAUGACGGUAUCGACAGAAGAAGCACCGGCUAACUACGUGCCAGCAGCCGCGGUAAUACGUAGGGUGCGAGCGUUAAUCGGAAUUACUGGGCGUAAAGGGUGCGCAGGCGGCUUUGUAAGUCAGAUGUGAAAUCCCCGGGCUUAACCUGGGAAUUGCGUUUGAAACUACAAGGCUAGA
rnacentral:rRNA from 1 species